AUUUGCUACCCACACCACAGUUUGUUCUCGUAGUUUAUGGAACCAAAUUCCUAGAUACCUAUAGCUAGAACUGCCGGGGCUGAAAAAUCCUAACUCGAAAGUAUUUUCCUCAGAUAUUAGAAAGUUGCCAUCUUUGAUCAUUUGGGUUGCAAGAAGUGUGUCUUGGGAAACAGAAAAUGAGAAUAGCAAGCAUAGAAGCAAAGAUUGAGAAAACAUAUUUUGGGUAGCCAUGAUUUUAUUCAAACGGGCUGUCA
rnacentral:misc_RNA from 1 species